rnacentral:rRNA from 1 species
GACGAACGCUGGCGGCGUGCUUAACACAUGCGAGUCGAACGGAAAGGCCCUGCUUGCAGGGUACUCGAGUGGCGAACGGGUGAGUAACACGUGGGUGAUCUGCCCUGCACUUCGGGAUAAGCCUGGGAAACUGGGUCUAAUACCGGAUAGGAGCCAUUUUUAGUGUGAUGGUUGGAAAGUUUUUUCGGUGUAGGAUGAGCUCGCGGCCUAUCAGCUUGUUGGUGGGGUAAUGGCCUACCAAGGCGGCGACGGGUAGCCGGCCUGAGAGGGUGGACGGCCACAUUGGGACUGAGAUACGGCCCAGACUCCUACGGGAGGCAGCAGUGGGGAAUAUUGCACAAUGGGCGCAAGCCUGAUGCAGCGACGCCGCGUGGGGGAUGACGGCCUUCGGGUUGUAAACUCCGUUCGCUAGGGACGAAGCUUUUUGUGACGGUACCUAGAUAAGAAGCACCGGCUAACUACGUG